ACAGAGUGUCUUUCCUUUUCAGUCCUGCUUUUCUUGAUUAACUCUUGAGGGAACUUUGUAUAAUUAUAGAGUGACAGAAACUGAAUUCAAAGUUUUUCUCUCACUAGUUCUAAUAUCUGAUUCUGCUUUGUUUUAGCAGCUUCCCACCUGAGAAAACCUAGAAAUCAUCUCUAGGAGAGAAUGUAGCGGAAAUGUUGAAGAUGAUGAUGUUUGAACUUGGACCACUGUGGUCCUUGGGACUCUGUCCUUCCAAAGGUCUUCCAAUCUACUGCCCCGUGCAUUUGAGGAAACAGAAGCUCAGAGGAGAGGGGUCAACCUGCCACAACCCUUCAGCUGCUCAGUGGAAAAUCCAAGUCCAGCUCACUAAUCUCUCACCAAAAGAAAAGCAGGAUGGAAGAGAACACACGCUUCACAUAGAAAUACCUAAAUGUCAAGUAGAUGCCAAGAUCUCUAGUAGGUUUAGGAAUCACCAUGACAAUCUUUUAAAGACUGGCUUUGUUGUUAUUAUUAAUUACAAUUUCUGGAUGAGAAUUAUUAAAAUCAAGCAUGAACUUUCCAGGAUUCAAACCCGUUUAUUUUAUGCCAAAGCCAAUGGGGCUACCUUAGUACCCU
rnacentral:lncRNA from 1 species